UUUACUUGAAGCAACGCUUUGAAAAGGGAACUCGCACGUCUGCUUUGAGAUGAAAAAUGACAAUUCCCGAGUAACCUCCUGAAGCACAUCAGCAAGAAAACUGUAAUUUCAGGAUGACAUCUCUUCUUUUACAGUCAUGAGAUUUAUUGCAGAUGAGUGGAACAACUUAGGAAUAAUUUCUUAGUCACAAGUUUCAACAGAUACGUGAGGAAAAGCCCUGGCAGUCUAUAGAGGAGCUGCAUUACGUGUAAUUUGUGGAAGUGCUUUCUUAGCAGUGUGCCUGCCUACCUCCCUCCUAGCGUGAAGAGAUAUCUUCGCAAGCAUAUUUUUUUUUCUGGGAAACCUUGAAGGAUUUUUGAUUGCUUUGCACAAUAAACAAAGAGGAGAUGUAACAUCUUUGCUCCACAAGAAAGAAGGAGCACGUUCUCUACCCAAAUUGCUAAAAGAAAGAAGCAACUUUUGAAAAUGAUUGAUAGUUCUCCAAGACCAUUAGAAAAUGUUUGCACCUUCACUCCAUACACACCAAGUCCUUGACAUAGAUUGCUGCUGAUGGAGAGCAUGGAAGUAUUUUGACCUUCAGCCUGGCCUCACAAUGUGGUUCAUCCCUAAGAAACAGCGUGGAGAUUCUGCUCUGAAGAAAAGGCUUGGACCUUUGGACACGGGUCACCUUUACCUUGUGUUGCAUCAGCUGCAGGUGCCUUUGCACAGGUGAGCUCCUCCACACUGAGUCACUGCUGUUUCUAUCCAGCACUGUGGAAGCUAAAGUGAGAGCUGUUCACAUAGAAAUGUUCAACAUCAAAAACUUCUAAGCAAAAGAGCAACAUCGAGAGAAGAUGACCAGGAACUUAAGUGAUAGUUUGGGAUCCCAACAAGCAAACAAAGAAUAAGAACCCACCAUCAAAGAACAGCCAUGCUGCUGGAGGAGCAGUGUGUUCCUACGGAUUCCUACUCCAUGGCUCUAUGAGGGCAACGUCCAAGGAGAUCAUGCAGGUGAGGUGCUCUUGGUCAGUGUUCAUCAGUGUCUGAUGAAAAGGAAAAUAUCCUUUACAAAGUUCUGCAGGAGCAGUACAUUGCUGAACUAUGGUGAGGACAAGUUGUGCUGUGAUUGUGAGCAUCUGGAGGAGGAUUAGAGAUGACUCGUACAUAAUAUUAUGGCACUAGUCUGGCCCCCGGUCAAGACUUUGAUAUCAGUAGCUACCAUUGACGGGAGAAACUAAGAAAUAUUUCCUGUGCUCAGAAGAAGCUGCCUGAAUACUAUCAUAAAUAGAAACUUUUAAAAUAGACCUUGCUCUGUAGAGAGGAUGAAGAAUAACAACUAUGUGAGAGCUUUUGGGGAGCUUGGUCUGCUAUGUCAUUCGUUUUCCCAGGAUUUUUAAAGCUGUAUUUUUUUUGCAAAAUAAAUAAUUCAGCAUCUUUAAAAAACAUAAAUAAUUUCUGAUCUUGACUUUCAAGCAACAAUAUCAAAUAUUUAGGUUUUCCUCUCCUCUCAAGUAACUGCUUCUAUCACAGGAUUGUGGCCUCCUCUGUGGUUCGGCAAUGCAAUGCUUUAAUCUUCAGUCAAAACAACCAUCAAACACUUCUGCAACCCUCUCUGUCAUCAGGAAAUCUGCUAUUUAAAGGCUCCCUAUACCUUUAGGCUCUGAUCUCUCUGCUACAUUUGGCCAUGGAGUAAAAAUUAUAAUGAAAAGUGAUUUCUCAUCUCUCCAGGGAGAUUUUCACUUUGGGAACUGGCAUCUUUCUCUUUCAUAUGGCACUAAUUCUGCAAAUGUGUGGAAGCCGGACUUCUGGAGCAUCUGUUCUUGGUGUCCCUGGCUCUGUCUGGGUUGCAAUGAGCUGGUGUGGGGCAGGAUGUCCCCUCCAAGGGCUCCUUUCCGCAUCCUCAUGGAACAUCCCAGCUAAGAUGUGCUGGGGGCUUUGCCUCAGAGGUUAAGACCUCAGUAGCAGGGCAUGAGCAGCCCUAACUCUUCACAAUUGUCCCUCUUUACUAAUGCCAUAUAAUCAGCCAUUCUGCAAAUGAUUAAUAAAAGUCUUAAGGAUUUUAGGGCUCUAAUUGCCUUUCAUGUUCUCUGCCUUUCAGCUGGCAGACAGAUCUAUGCAGAGCUGCCUUUGCUGAAACCUGUGUCACCUGCUUGUGUCACCUCUUGGUGAUCAUGACCCCUUGCUGCAUUUGUACCUCCCAUGCCAUGGGGAAGGCAUGUAAGCACCAUGUUUUCUUUCAGGUGGCUAAUAAAAUAUUGACUGGCUUGGGUCCAAGGGAUCAAGGAAUCAUUCCUGUAGAGACACCACUUGAAACAUGCCCCCAUCAUUCAGUUUUUGAAGGCUAAUUCUUUUAGCCAGUAUGUAAUCCACUUUAUGUGCUGUGUUGAUUUUGUAAUGAUGUGGCUCCUUGAAUAUUACAGUGUGGGAUACCAAGUCAAAUAUUUUACAGAAGCUUAAGUCAACACUAUUUCCUUUAUUAAGCAAAAUUGUAGUCUCAUCAUAAAAAAAAAAAAAAAUCCAGUUAGCAUUAGAUCUAUUUCUCAUCAGCCCUUGUUGAUAGGCAUUAACGAUAUUAUGCUUUACUAUUUUUUAAUUUCUGAAGUUGUUUCUCACAGCUCGGGAUCCAUUAUCUCCCCAGGACCAAAGCUCAGCAGGCCUAUCAAUAUUCAGAUCAUUCAACUUACCCUUAGAGGCUUUUCUUCUGCUCUGAUUUUGCCUGUGCUCCACAGCAUAUUCAAAACCAUUAGCAGUCCACAAAGGACUGCAAUUUCUCUUAAAAAUGAUUGUGUGCAAAUUAUUUAGGAUGUUGAUUUAGAACUGUUGCUGUUAUAAAUAUUACUCACUGGCCUCCCAAACUUCUGCUGUUAUGCAAAUUGUUGUAUCAUCAUCCUCUGAUGUGAACGCAUCAUUUGCAGUUGUUUUUCUCCCCAGGUUCAGAACAGGAAUAUUAGUUCAUUUAAAAACAUUUGCCUUUCUGCAUAAUUAUUGUCAUUCCUAUAAUUUCAAUUUGGUAGUAGUCCAAAGACAUUGUUUGGCUUCUCUUCUUUCCUAAUAUGUUUAAAGACUUUCUCAUUGCUCUUUUUCUCCAAAGUCAUAGCCUGUCUCUUGUAUUCUUUGCUUCCCUUAUUUAAUUUAUCCAAUCUCUACUUUCCAAGUUACAUUAAUUGCAGCUUUCUCCUUUGUUUGUUGUCUAUUUGGAUGCAAACAUUGCUCCUUUCACUCUUCCUCUGAGACAUGUCAGAUUUUUGUAACCGUUUUAACCAUCCUCUGCCAACGAAGGGACUGGGGCUUUCAAAGACAUCAGUGCAAUGUUCUGUAAAUGUAUCGUCCAUAUUUUGAGUUCUGCUUCACAGUUUGCUCUGGGACAUAAUUGUUUUGCAUUGUAAAACUGGCUUUUUCAAGGCACCAAAUGGAUGUAUCUGAUGUAGCUGAGUUGAUUUCUUGUUUGUUUGUUUUCUAUUUUCUGUGAAUUAUCACAAUUUGUCCUGUUCCUAGAGAAAUAGCUAAAUUUUUCUGUUAGAAUUUGUUCCAUCCCUAUCAAGGUGAGUUCCAAGAGCAGAUACCACCUUGCUGGAUGUCACUUAUUUCUGCAUAAAGGCCUCUGGAGCUUCCAUGGUGUGCUGGUAUGCACACAGAGAUAUGAAAUGCUCCAGCACUGAUAAUGGCAGCACAGAAACAGCUGUGCUCUGCAUGGCAGCUCUAGGGCCCAUGAUCACCUAUGUCAACCACAUGCAAAGCUUACAGGUUUGUUCCAGAGAACCCCUUUGGUCAUUAAGUCUCGCUGCUGAAAGUAUUUCACAAUAAUAUCUGGUGAUUUUAAUAAGGAAACACUGCAUGAGUAUAAUAUUCCACCUAAAAUGUUUCUGACUGGGCUCAGACCAAUUUUGCCUACCCUGUGCUGGGAACAUCAACACUUCAAGGCUGACAACAUUUCCUAUCAAGCUGUUUCACAAAACAUGUGGGACUGGUCCAUGCUGCCAGGUGUUUUGCCUCCUCUCUCCUGGUUGGACCUUGGAGACCACAGCUGCUGGAAGAGCUGCAUUAUGACAUUCCUGGCAGCAUCUUGAGCUUGCUGGAAAUGCAUUAGAAAGACAGCAACGUCAGAAGUGCCCAUGUCCUCGGAUGGCAAGAGCAGAGAUGGCUGUAAGGGCAGUGCACCCUUGUCACCCAAUUCCCCAGUAAGGAGUGUGUCCUUCCCCUCCAGCAGUUGGACAAAUCGCACUCAUCCACAAGGCCCAAGGAUGCCUCAGAUCGCUCAGUUUGGAU